rnacentral:rRNA from 1 species
GACGAACGCUGGCGGCGUGCUUAACACAUGCAAGUCGAACGGAAAGGCCCUGCUUUUGUGGGGUGCUCGAGUGGCGAACGGGUGAGUAACACGUGAGUAACCUGCCCUUGACUUUGGGAUAACUUCAGGAAACUGGGGCUAAUAUCGGAUAGGAGCUCCUGCUGCAUGGUGGGGGUUGGAAAGUUUCGGCGGUUGGGGAUGGACUCGCGGCUUAUCAGCUUGUUGGUGGGGUAGUGGCUUACCCAGGCUUUGACGGGUAGCCGGCCUGAGAGGGUGACCGGCCACAUUGGGACUGAGAUACGGCCCAGACUCCUACGGGAGGCAGCAGUGGGGAAUAUUGCACAAUGGGCGGAAGCCUGAUGCAGCAACGCCGCGUGCGGGAUGACGGCCUUCGGGUUGUAAACCGCUUUCGCCUGUGACGAAGCGUGAGUGACGGUAAUGGGUAAAGAAGCACCGGCUAACUACGUGCCAGCAGCCGCGGUGAUACGUAGGGUGCGAGCGUUGUCCGGAUUUAUUGGGCGUAAAGGGCUCGUAGGUGGUUGAUCGCGUCGGAAGUGUAAUCUUGGGGCUUAACCCUGAGCGUGCUUUCGAUACGGGUUGACUUGAGGAAGGUAGGGGAGAAUGGAAUUCCUGGUGGAGCGGUGGAAUGCGCAGAUAUCAGGAGGAACACCAGUGGCGAAGGCGGUUCUCUGGGCCUUUCCUGACGCUGAGGAGCGAAAGCGUGGGGAGCGAACAGGCUUAGAUACCCUGGUAGUCCACGCUGUAAACGGUGGGUACUAGGUGUGGGGUCCAUUCCACGGGUUCCGUGCCGUAGCUAACGCUUUAAGUACCCCGCCUGGGGAGUACGGCCGCAAGGCUAAAACUCAAAGGAAUUGACGGGGCCCCGCACAAGCGGCGGAGCAUGCGGAUUAAUUCGAUGCAACGCGUAGAACCUUACCUGGGUUUGACAUGGAUCGGGAGUGCUCAGAGAUGGGUGUGCCUCUUUUGGGGUCGGUUCACAGGUGGUGCAUGCCUGUCGUCAGCUCGUGUCGUGAGAUGUUGGGUUAAGUCCCGCAACGAGCGCAACCCUUGUUCACUGUUGCCAGCACGUUAUGGUGGGGACUCAGUGGAGACCGCCGGGGUCAACUCGGAGGAAGGUGGGGAUGACGUCAAGUCAUCAUGCCCCUUAUGUCCAGGGCUUCACGCAUGCUACAAUGGCUGGUACAGAGAGUGGCGAGCCUGUGAGGGUGAGCGAAUCUCGGAAAGCCGGUCUCAGUUCGGAUUGGGGUCUGCAACUCGACCUCAUGAAGUCGGAGUCGCUAGUAAUCGCAGAUCAGCAACGCUGCGGUGAAUACGUUCCCGGGGCU